AAAUUGAAGAGUUUGAUCAUGGCUCAGAUUGAACGCUGGCGGCAGGCCUAACACAUGCAAGUCGAGCGGUAGCACAGAGAGCUUGCUCUCGGGUGACGAGCGGCGGACGGGUGAGUAAUGUCUGGGAAACUGCCUGAUGGAGGGGGAUAACUACUGGAAACGGUAGCUAAUACCGCAUAACGUCGCAAGACCAAAGUGGGGGACCUUCGGGCCUCAUGCCAUCAGAUGUGCCCAGAUGGGAUUAGCUAGUAGGUGGGGUAACGGCUCACCUAGGCGACGAUCCCUAGCUGGUCUGAGAGGAUGACCAGCCACACUGGAACUGAGACACGGUCCAGACUCCUACGGGAGGCAGCAGUGGGGAAUAUUGCACAAUGGGCGCAAGCCUGAUGCAGCCAUGCCGCGUGUGUGAAGAAGGCCUUCGGGUUGUAAAGCACUUUCAGCGGGGAGGAAGGCGUUAAGGUUAAUAACCUCAUCGAUUGACGUUACCCGCAGAAGAAGCACCGGCUAACUCCGUGCCAGCAGCCGCGGUAAUACGGAGGGUGCAAGCGUUAAUCGGAAUUACUGGGCGUAAAGCGCACGCAGGCGGUCUGUCAAGUCGGAUGUGAAAUCCCCGGGCUCAACCUGGGAACUGCAUUCGAAACUGGCAGGCUAGAGUCUUGUAGAGGGGGGUAGAAUUCCAGGUGUAGCGGUGAAAUGCGUAGAGAUCUGGAGGAAUACCGGUGGCGAAGGCGGCCCCCUGGACAAAGACUGACGCUCAGGUGCGAAAGCGUGGGGAGCAAACAGGAUUAGAUACCCUGGUAGUCCACGCCGUAAACGAUGUCGAUUUGGAGGUUGUGCCCUUGAGGCGUGGCUUCCGGAGCUAACGCGUUAAAUCGACCGCCUGGGGAGUACGGCCGCAAGGUUAAAACUCAAAUGAAUUGACGGGGGCCCGCACAAGCGGUGGAGCAUGUGGUUUAAUUCGAUGCAACGCGAAGAACCUUACCUACUCUUGACAUCCACAGAAUCUGGUAGAGAUACCUCAGUGCCUUCGGGAACUGUGAGACAGGUGCUGCAUGGCUGUCGUCAGCUCGUGUUGUGAAAUGUUGGGUUAAGUCCCGCAACGAGCGCAACCCUUAUCCUUUGUUGCCAGCGGUCCGGCCGGGAACUCAAAGGAGACUGCCAGUGAUAAACUGGAGGAAGGUGGGGAUGACGUCAAGUCAUCAUGGCCCUUACGACCAGGGCUACACACGUGCUACAAUGGCAUAUACAAAGAGAAGCGACCUCGCGAGAGCAAGCGGACCUCAUAAAGUAUGUCGUAGUCCGGAUUGGAGUCUGCAACUCGACUCCAUGAAGUCGGAAUCGCUAGUAAUCGUAGAUCAGAAUGCUACGGUGAAUACGUUCCCGGGCCUUGUACACACCGCCCGUCACACCAUGGGAGUGGGUUGCAAAAGAAGUAGGUAGCUUAACCUUCGGGAGGGCGCUUACCACUUUGUGAUUCAUGACUGGGGUGAAGUCGUAACAAGGUAACCGUAGGGGAACCUGCGGUUGGAUCACCUCCUUACCUUAAAGAA
rnacentral:rRNA from 1 species